rnacentral:rRNA from 1 species
CCUACGGGGCGCAGCAGUGAGGAAUAUUGGUCAAUGGACGCAAGUCUGAACCAGCCAUGCCGCGUGCAGGAAGACGGCUCUAUGAGUUGUAAACUGCUUUUGUAUGAGGGUAAACGCAGAUACGCGUAUCUGUCUGAAAGUAUCGUACGAAUAAGGAUCGGCUAACUCCGUGCCAGCAGCCGCGGUAAUACGGAGGAUUCAAGCGUUAUCCGGAUUUAUUGGGUUUAAAGGGUGCGUAGGCGGUCGGAUAAGUUAGAGGUGAAAUCCUGAGGCUCAACUUCGGAAUUGCCUCUGAUACUGGUCGGCUAGAGAGUAGUUGCGGUAGGCGGAAUGUAUGGUGUAGCGGUGAAAUGCUUAGAGAUCAUGCAGAACACCGAUUGCGAAGGCAGCUUACCGGGCUACUACUGACGUUGAGGCACGAAAGCGUGGGUAGCAAACAGGAUUAGAUACCCGGGUAGUC